GACGAACGCUGGCGGCGUGCUUAACACAUGCAGGUCGAACGGAAAGGCCUGCUUUCCCUUGUGGAUUGCAGGUACUCGAGUGGCGAACGGGUGAGUAACACGUGAGUGAUCUGCCCCCAACUUGGGUAUAAGCCUGGGAAACUGGGUCUAAUUCCCGAUAGGACUGCAGGGUGGUGCUUGUGGUGGAAAACGAUUUUCUAGUGGUUGGGGUUGAGCUCGCGGCCUAUCAGCUUGUUGGUGGGGUAAUGGCCUACCAAGGCGGCGACGGGUAGCCGGCCUGAGAGGGUGGACGGCCACAUUGGGACUGAGAUACGGCCCAGACUCCUACGGGAGGCAGCAGUGGGGAAUAUUGCACAAUGGGCGGAAGCCUGAUGCAGCGACGCCGCGUGGGGGAUGACGGCCUUCGGGUUGUAAACUCCUUUCGACCGCGAGGAAGCCACCUGGUUGGAAGGGUGGUGACGGUAGUGGUAGAAGAAGCACCGGCUAACUACGUG
rnacentral:rRNA from 1 species